UACGAAGGGGGCUAGCGUUGCUCGGAAUCACUGGGCGUAAAGCGCACGUAGGCGGAUUGUUAAGUCAGGGGUGAAAUCCUGGAGCUCAACCCCAGAACUGCCUUUGAUACUGGCGAUCUCGAGUCCGGGAGAGGUGAGUGGAACUGCGAGUGUAGAGGUGAAAUUCGUAGAUAUUCGCAAGAACACCAGUGGCGAAGGCGGCUCACUGGCCCGGUACUGACGCUGAGGUGCGAAAGCGUGGGGAGCAAACAGG
rnacentral:rRNA from 1 species